UGAAGGCUGAAACUCGCCUACAUGAAGCUGGAGUUGCUAGUAAUCGCGAAUCAGCAUGUCGCGGUGAAUACGUUCCCGGGCCUUGUACACACCGCCCGUCACACCAUGAGAGUUGGCAAUACCCAACGUACGUGAUCUAACCCGCAAGGGAGGAAGCGUCCUAAGGUAGGGUCAGCGAUUGGGGUGAAGUCGUAACAAGGUAUC
rnacentral:rRNA from 1 species